AUUUGAGAUAAAUGCACGUCGCUCUGGAUAAGAGCAUCUGCUAAAUGACUAAAA
rfam:Salmo salar isolate Sally breed double haploid chromosome ssa04, whole genome shotgun sequence.